rnacentral:rRNA from 1 species
CCCAAUUGAUUGAUGGUGCUUGCACCUCUUUGAUUUUGGUCGCCAACGAGUGGCGGACGGGUGAGCAACACGUAGAUAACCUGCCCAGAAGCGGGGGACAACAUUUGGAAACAGAUGCUAAUACCGCAUAACAACGUUGUUCGCAUGAACAACGCUUAAAAGAUGGCUUCUCGCUAUCACUUCUGGAUGGACCUGCGGUGCAUUAGCUUGUUGGUGGGGUAACGGCCUACCAAGGCGAUGAUGCAUAGCCGAGUUGAGAGACUGAUCGGCCACAAUGGGACUGAGACACGGCCCAUACUCCUACGGGAGGCAGCAGUAGGGAAUCUUCCACAAUGGGCGCAAGCCUGAUGGAGCAACACCGCGUGAGUGAAGAAGGGCUUCGGCUCGUAAAGCUCUGUUGUUAAAGAAGAACACGUAUGAGAGUAACUGUUCAUACGUUGACGGUAUUUAACCAGAAAGUCACGGCUAACUACGUGCCAGCAGCCGCGGUAAUACGUAGGUGGCAAGCGUUAUCCGGAUUUAUUGGGCGUAAAGAGAGUGCAGGCGGUUUUCUAAGUCUGAUGUGAAAGCCUUCGGCUUAACCGGAGAAGUGCAUCGGAAACUGGAUAACUUGAGUGCGGAAGAGGGUAGUGGAACUCCAUGUGUAGCGGUGGAAUGCGUAGAUAUAUGGAAGAACACCAGUGGCGAAGGCGGCUACCUGGUCUGCAACUGACGCUGAGACUCGAAAGCAUGGGUAGCGAACAGGAUUAGAUACCCUGGUAGUCCAUGCCGUAAACGAUGAGUGCUAGGUGUUGGAGGGUUUCC